rnacentral:rRNA from 1 species
AGGGAAAGAGGGAGGUAGGAAUAACACAUGCAAGUCGAACGGCAGCACAGUAAGAGCUUGCUCUUACGGGUGGCGAGUGGCGGACGGGUGAGGAAUACAUCGGAAUCUACUUUUUCGUGGGGGAUAACGUAGGGAAACUUACGCUAAUACCGCAUACGACCUACGGGUGAAAGCAGGGGAUCUUCGGACCUUGCGCGAUUGAAUGAGCCGAUGUCGGAUUAGCUAGUUGGCGGGGUAAAGGCCCACCAAGGCGACGAUCCGUAGCUGGUCUGAGAGGAUGAUCAGCCACACUGGAACUGAGACACGGUCCAGACUCCUACGGGAGGCAGCAGUGGGGAAUAUUGGACAAUGGGCGCAAGCCUGAUCCAGCCAUACCGCGUGGGUGAAGAAGGCCUUCGGGUUGUAAAGCCCUUUUGUUGGGAAAGAAAAGCAGCAGGUUAAUACCCCGCUGUUCUGACGGUACCCAAAGAAUAAGCACCGGCUAACUUCGUG